rnacentral:rRNA from 1 species
ACAGAGGGGGCAAGCGUUAUUCGGAAUUAUCGGGCGUAAAGGGCGCGUAGGCGGCUUUUCAAGUGACGGGUGAAAUCCCUCGGCUUAACCGAGGAACUGCCUGUCAGACUGGAAGGCUUGAGACCGGGAGAGGUGAGUGGAAUUCCCAGUGUAGCGGUGAAAUGCGUAGAUAUUGGGAGGAACACCUGAGGCGAAGGCGGGCUACUGGGCCGAUACUGACGCUGAUGCGCGAAAGCCAGGGGAGCGAACGGGA